AUUGAACGCUGGCGGCAGGCUUAACACAUGCAAGUCGAACGAGUGGCGGACGGGUGAGUAAUGCUUGGGAAUCUAGCUUAUGGAGGGGGAUAACUACGGGAAACUGUAGCUAAUACCGCGUACCAUAGGAUGAGCCCAAGUGGGAUUAGGUAGUUGGUGAGGUAAAGGCUCACCAAGCCGACGAUCUCUAGCUGGUCUGAGAGGAUGACCAGCCACACUGGGACUGAGACACGGCCCAGACUCCUACGGGAGGCAGCAGUGGGGAAUAUUGCACAAUGGGCGCAAGCCUGAUGCAGCCAUGCCGCGUGUAUGAAGAAGGCCCUAGGGUUGUAAAGUACUUUCAGUCGGGAGGCGUUACCGACAGAAGAAGCACCGGCUAACUCCGUGCCAGCAGCCGCGGUAAUUC
rnacentral:rRNA from 1 species